CAGCGUCCGUUUGACGAAUUGUCUUCACCACUAAACUCAGCUCGUCGAGGAGAACAACCUACACUAAACCAUUUUUCCCGGUUCACAACUUUUUCCGGUGACAUUUUUGUAGCUCCGCCCCUUUCCGGCGACUUUCCGGUGACCUCGUGUACCGUUUUGACAAACGGUUGGCAUGAGUGUGAUCUACUCGUCGAGGUGGUCGUUUUGAUAUAUACUACUCCUAUUUUCGGCGACAUUUCCGGUACACCAAUUUUUACCGCCACCGAUUGUUAAUGUGCACCGCUUAGGUGAGAGUAAUAUGUAAGUUUGGACUAAACAAUUGAAGCUCGGGACUUGAGAGCUUAAGAUCGUCUUUUGGAAAAAGUUUAACGACUCGGGAGAGGAACUCAGUUUGAUGCUAGUGGAUGAGGAUGGUACCGUUGGGAAAGGAAUGUCGUUAUUAGUUUAGUCAUAUUUUACUCUUUCACCUUCUAAUGAGACUGAUUUUGUAUUUAAGAACAAAUGUAUGGUCUGGAUGACUUAAAUUAGCUAUGUACUAGUUAGAAAUGAGAAACGAUGGAUGCUAGGUAUUAUUUUGGUAUUUUAUUGACUUAUUAAAUCUAUCUAUUUGGUGAUCACAUAACUGUGGGGAUAUUACUGUUCUUUUAUAUUGAUGAGUGAUCCAGAAUUUAUUAUUAAUAUUUUCUUAUUAAUAUAGGAGUUAAUCCAUAUCUU